rnacentral:rRNA from 1 species
AAGCUCGUAGUUGAAUUUCGGGGUUAGUAGGCUGGUCGUGCCACAGGUAUGUACUGGUCUCACUGAUUCCUCCUUCCUGAUGAACCGUAAUGCCAUUAAUUUGGUGUUGCGGGGAGACUGGACUGUUACUUUGAAAAAAUUAGAGUGUUUAAAGCAGGCUAACGCUUGAAUACAUUAGCAUGGAAUAAUGAAAUAGGACGUUUGGUCUUAUUUUGUUGGUUUCUAAGAUUGACGUAAUGAUUAAUAGGGAUAGUUGGG